rnacentral:lncRNA from 1 species
CUUAACUCUGGUAGCAGCCCCUGGGUAGCACCAUCCCUCUUUGUCCUGAGAAUCAGGACUAGUUCUACAAAUAAUAUUAAAAAUAAAUAAAGAGAUGACUAAUUAUAUAACAUGAUUUGAGGGUCAUCAUAAGACCUGUGCCACCCCAAAUAUAUUCACAGUCAGAUUGUCCUCUGUAGCCAAAAAUUUGCCUACUAAACUCAUCCUCUGAAUCCGCUGAAUAGAGGCAUUGUUUCCACAGAGUCAUCGUUAGACUGUGCUUGUGUUGUCUAGUUGCUAAUUAAUAUGCUUUUACACUUUGUGUCCUGUGAAUAGACCAUUUUCAGCCUAACGUUUGUAACGUAACACCAUAACUACAAUCAAGUUCUGCCUCUCCUAGGAGAAAUAGCAUGACUCUGCUGCCUGACUUCUGAGCAUCUCUGCCUGAACAUCUGAACACCCUGGUUGCUACCAGAUCAAGUCAUUUUGUCAUGUCCAUUAGGCCUGGUUUGCGCUGUUACUGUGGCCAGUGUGAAAGCAAAGGUCUCAGCUUCCCGCAACUCUGAUCUCAAUCCUUCUGAUUUCCUUUAAUUUUUUACUGUGAUGGAUGCUGGAGAGAGUAUAGCAAAUCCCUUAAGAGCCUGGACUGUGACACCUGCAGUGUGUUCCUUCAUCUCUGGCCUUCCAUGUACAAGGUUGUUUGCAGCAUUUACGGACCUUUGGGAUUCCUGACUUACUGAUGGUGGAUUUACGGUAUAAUCCAAUGGUUACCCCAGUACAGGAUGCGGAAAAAAACUCACCCUAACACAGAACAUGUUCUCAUUAUGGUGGAAGCAACAGGCAUAGGCUGCUGAGAACCCAUAUGAAAAAUGCAUGAUGGGAUAGAUCUUGCUGGUUAAACUGGGGCAGAAGUCAGACUUCUUUCUGGAUUAUGCCCCGCUCACUCCUUUGGAAAAAAAAUAUUAUAUUAUGGAGAGAGACACAAGACUCAUACUGGGAGAUUCUAAUGAAGCUUUGUAAUACGAGGAGUUUUUGGAACUUCUGAAAGCCUUGGUCAAACACGUGUGCCUUUAAGUUGAGUUGCAGACCUCUCUAUCCUUGCCCUGGUUUCAUUGAUAUUAUAACAUCAAAAAAAUAUUCUGAAAUAUCUGUCAUCCAGAUUAAUUUCUGUGUUCUCUAUAUCCUUGCUGCUCAACAUGUGGUUUCUGAACCGGCAUUGUUGUAAUCUCUCACACAUUUGUUAGAAAGGUAGACUCUCAAACUUUACUGUAGACUUACUGUAUCAGAAAUUGCAUUCUCAAAUGAUCUCCUAGUCAUUGGAUACACAUUUGGCAAACAAUGAUCUAUAUUACCACAGCAUUCCAAGGGGCCAUAGGUACUCAGUAGGGAGUUGGUUCUGACAUUCAGUCAUAAUGAGGUGGGUGAGAAACUUCAUUAGCCAAUGAAAAAGAAUGGUUAAGUCAGAAGACCCUGAAAGGUUUUUCUUGUCCAUCUCUUAAGGCAAAUGCAAGCCAGAAGCAAGGAACAGCCUUGGGGAGGAAGAGGGCUUCAUAUUCCAAUGAAGACACAUUUGGAGUGAUCUUAAAUGAGAACCAAAUUCAUCAGCUUUAAUGAAAGUCUGAGAAAGUGAUGGAAUUUUAAGAUUAGUACAAAGUAGGUGAACACUGUUUAAGAUUUUCCAUCUGGGUCUAGGGAAGAAUCUGAGGUAAUAGCCAUUUAUGUGCCACACUGCCUAAGAAUUCUUUGCUUUUGUGCAUGAACACUGUUUGCAGAAAUAAACCAUUUUCCUUUUUUUUUUUUUUUGGUGUG